rnacentral:lncRNA from 1 species
AAAAACCAUCUAUAUAUUUCAUGUCACUUCCUCUCUCAGUCCUCUUUUGCAGCAGAGAGGUGGCUGGCAGCAGCUUGCUGAGUGUCUUGGCAUCUUGGCGUGGCAGCAGCUAUUGUCCUGUUUAGCAGUGAGUUUCCCUUGAUACCAUACUGGAGGAAGCCUAGUAACCUAGUUCAGACUUCCACAACUCUGGUGCAGUCCCUCAUCACCUCAAGUUUUGACCAUCAGCUUCCUAAUGGGUCUACCUGCCUCAGGUCCAUUGGCAGCCAGCAGAGAUCACAAUUCCGACAGUUCCCCAUUAUGUCAGGAAAAAGCCAAGAUCAAGACUGGUAUUAUUCCUCUCCCCAAGAAGAAAACAGAAAAACAAGACAACAACAACAACCCAGAGCUUUCAGUAGAUUGAUUGGUUCUUAAGUUGUCUCUUCCUUUUAUUCUGGCCAAUCACAUGCAUAUAAUUAUUUUCCUUCUUGCUAAGAUCUAGUUAUAUAGUAUCUUUACUUUUAUAUAGUUAGAUAGUAGAUAUAUGCUUAGUUAUAUAGUAUCUCUACUUUUAAGGCUUGGCCAGAUCUGAUGUUCAAUGAAGUUUCCGUUUUCCCAGGGAUAAAUUAAUGUAAUCAGUGGGGACCUUCUUUGUUAAAACCAAGAAGGUGCCUCCUCUGACCAGUCAUCAUAGGUAGAGGCCAAUAGGUAGAGGAAGCAGGCCCUCCAUCAUACUUGUCAAUUCCAAAUAGCUAAAAGGUAUAUAUGGAUUAGUGGAAUUUCUGUAUCCCCUUUGGUUUCACUCCUCAAAACUUCACCUUGGGUCCCCAUAGUAGUGACUGCUAAUAAUUUCAAAGUUCUAUAAAAGGGAAUUCUUUGUUCUCUUUGAGUUUACACUUGUGAAAGGGAAUCUAUUAUUCCCUUUGUCCAUUUUGAGUUAACACUUUAGUUAACAAUAAACUUACAUACCCCUACUUAGUACCUCA